GCUCCCUUCGGCAGCACAUACAUAUACAGAGAAGAUUAGCAUGGCCCCUAUACAAGAAUGACAUGCAUAUUUGUCAAGUGUUCCAUAUUUUA
rnacentral:snRNA from 1 species